rnacentral:rRNA from 1 species
UACGAAGGGGGCUAGCGUUGUUCGGAAUUACUGGGCGUAAAGGGCUCGUAGGCGGCCAACUAAGUCAGACGUGAAAUCCCUCGGCUUAACCGGGGAACUGCGUCUGAUACUGGAUGGCUUGAGUUUGGGAGAGGGAUGCGGAAUUCCAGGUGUAGCGGUGAAAUGCGCAGAUAUCAGGAGGAACACCGGUGGCGAAGGCGGGUCUCUGGGCCGAUACUGACGCUGAGGAGCGAAAGCGUGGGGAGCGAACAGG